ACCUAGGAUAGCUCCCUUGGUAGAGCAUGAGGCUCUUAAUCUCAGGGUUGUGGGUUCAAGCCCUACGCUGGGCA